AUCAGGUUGAAACACCUGUCCCCGUAUAGUCACCGAAGUUAAGCACCGUCGUCCCUGGUCAGUACCUAGAUGGGUGACCGCUUGGAAGACAAAGUGCUGUAAG